GAUGAAGAACGUAGCGAAAUGCGAUAAGUAAUGUUAAUUGCAGAAUUCCGUGAAUCAUCGAAUCUUUGAACGCACAUUGCGCCCCCUGGCAUUCCGGGGGGCAUGCCUGUCCGAGCGUCAUUUCUGCCCUCCAGCCCGGCUGGGUGUUGGGCGCUGUCCCCCCGGGGACACGCCCCAAAGGCAGUGGCGGCGCCGCGUCGGGUCCUCGAGCGUAUGGGGCUUUGUCACCCGCUCGGGACGGACUCGUCGGCGCUGGUCUUCCUCCAGGCGACCCUUCGGGGCUCGUCUUCCUUCGGUUGACCUCGGAUCAGGUAGGGUUACCCGCUGAACUUAAGCAUAUCAAUAAGCGGAGGA
rnacentral:misc_RNA from 1 species